UACGGGAGGCAGCAGUGAGGAAUAUUGGUCAAUGGGCGAGAGCCUGAACCAGCCAAGUAGCGUGCAGGAUGACGGCCCUAUGGGUUGUAAACUGCUUUUAUGCGGGGAUAAAGAGUCGCACGUGUGCGACGUUGCAGGUACCGCAUGAAUAAGGACCGGCUAAUUCCGUGCCAGCAGCCGCGGUAAU
rnacentral:rRNA from 1 species